GUCAUAGGAGAUUUUCUUAGAUUGACAGAGGUGAUGUCUGAGACGGUCGGAGCCGACAUUCUUAGACUGUCCAACGCCAAAUUCUUAGAUUAAAAUUGUUGCAGUUAAAAAGCUCGUAGUUGAAUUUUUGCUAGAAAUAACCGGUCUGCUUUUAUUUAUAAGAGUGGUAUCUUGGUGUGUUUUUAGCAAUAAUGUCCUUUGGAAUGUUUUUUACUUUAUUGUAGAAUGCAAUUUUGAGGAUUUUUACUUUGAGAAAAUUAGAGUGUUUCAAGCAGGCUAACGUUUUGAAUACUGCAGCAUGGAAUAAUAAAAUAGGAUUUUAGUUCUACGUUAUUGGUUUUAAGAACUAAAUUAAUGAUUGAUAGGAGCAGUUGGGGGCAUUUGUAUUUAACUGUCAGAGGUGAAAUUCUUAGAAGCUGU
rnacentral:rRNA from 1 species